rnacentral:lncRNA from 1 species
GACAGGGACAGGGACAGGGACAGGGACAGGACAGGGAUGGGACAGGGACAGUGACAGGGAUGGGAUCGGGACAGGGACAGGGAUGGGACAAGGGGUGGGACAGGGAUGGGACAGGGGGUGGCUUUGGCGGGGGUUGGAAACUUCUGGAACCCCUCAAGGGUCUCAUCCCGUCCCUACCACUCCCAAGAGAGGGCACAGAGAGGCUUCUGGGCUGUCCUGACACCUCUCGGGGGGUCUCACACACCCUCUGCCCACCCCCAGAUCCUGCUGAUCGCCUUCCUGAAGGUGAUCGACGAGGGCAGCCACAUGGUGAUGCUGGAGUGCCCGGACACGGUGAACACGCUGCUGCACGAGUUCGUCCUCUGGGAGCCCGACACGCCCGCGGCCCGCGGCGACGGCGACACCAAAUGAGGGCCAGCGGCAGGCGGGGACACCGGGGCCGCUCCCCGGAGCGCCGAGAGGGCUCCACGAGCCCGCUUUGUUUCCCUGGGCACGGAGCGAGGAGGCUCCCCCAGGUUGGGACGCGCAGCGCCGGGAGAAGGAGCGAGGAGAGGCGGCGGAGGCGGUCCCCAAGCCUGGGGACAGCGGGGGGACACUGUCCCCGAGCCCGGACGUGGCACAGCUGUGUCCCCAAGCCUCGGGGAGGGGAGGGGACAGCGGGGACACGGCACAGUUGGUCCCCGAGCCCGGACAUGGCACAGCUGCUCCUCAAGGCUGGUGGUGUCACAUCUGGUCCCCAAGGCCGGGGGACAGCGGGGAUGUGCCACACCCGGUCCCCGGCCACGCCACAUCUUGUCCCCAACCCCAGCCGCGUCACGUCUUGUCCCCAACCCCAGCAGGACAGCGGGGAUGUGCCACACCCGGUCCCCGGCCACCCCCGGCCGUGUCACAUCUUGUCCCCAACCCCGGCCACACCUUGUCCCCAACCCCAGCCACGUCACAUCUUGUCCCCGGCCACCCCCGGCCGUGUCACACCUGGACCUUGGCCACCCCCGGCCACGUCACAUCUUGUCCCCAACCCCGGACACGCCACCUCUUGUCCCCAAUCCCGGCGGGACAUCGGGGACACGCCACACCCGGUCCCCGGCCACCCCCGGCCGUGUCACCUCUUGUCCCCACCCCCGGGGGGACAUUGGGGACACGCCACACGUUGUCCCCAUCCCCUGGACGCGCCACCCCCGCGGCUCCAUCCCGGUUUGUUUUUGUCGCCGUCGUUGUCACCCCCGCCCGCAGCGACAGCCCCGGGGAGCCCGGGAGGAGCUGGCGACACCCCCGGGAAUUUGGGGGCGGAUUUCAGGAGAAUCCAGAAGUUUCUCCGCGUUGGGAUUUCCCUGGAUUCGGUGGGGGGGGCUCCUUGUGGGGUUCGGCAGCUCCUGCUGGGAUGAGGAUGAGGAUGAGGAGGAUUCCCGGGAUGUCCCCGCCUGUCCCCGCUGCCACCAGCGCUUUUAUGGCA